GUCUCUGUGGCGCAAUUGGCUAGCGCGUUCGGCUGUUAACCGAAAGGCUGGUGGUUCGAGCCCACCCAGGGAC
rnacentral:tRNA from 1 species